GCCCCAGCAACGCUUUAUAGGGGGCGGCCGCGGCGAGCGGCCGUAGCAGUCGGCGCAGUCGGCGGGAGGGGUGGGUUGCGCUGCGGUGGCGGCCUGAGCGUCUCGCGAUGACACGUGGAAACCAGCGUGAACUUGCCCGCCAAAAAAACCUGAAGAAAACUCAGGAGAUCCACAAAGGGAAAAGGAAAGAGGAUAGCUUGUCUGCUUCUCAGAGAAAACAGAGAGACUCUGAAAUCAUGCAGCAAAAACAAAAAGCAGCUAAUGAAAGGAAGUCUCUGCAGGCAGGAGCAAAAUGAGCUGCCUGAAUGGAGAAGUGCAGCAAUGACGCAGGAGGGCCUAGAAGAUCAUUCAUAAGUGUCUAGCCAUUAAAUGAUUAAACGUCUAUCUUGCAGAGUUGUUCAAUUGGCAUUAGAGUAUUUUCUGGUUAGCAUAGGCUUAGUUGUCUGGAGCGCUGUUUCAAAACUGACUACUCUUCUGCAUGCAUGCGAAUAAAUGUACCAAGCAAUACUCUAGCUUUUUGUUGCAUUUGUUGGUUUCACUUAAGGGUUCCAGUAACAAUUAAUUUCUGAAUCUGCUGUUAGAGCAGAUUUUAUUGUCUUAAAAGUGUACAGCUUGGAACACACUUGCAAAAUGUUCUUAAGUUUACACAGGUCUGAACUGUAAAUCUCAAAUUAUUUUUACAAUAAAAUGUUGCGUGAGAAA